GAAUACACCGCUGAAACAUUGCGCAUCAUCGAGCGACGCGAGGUGGAAGAGCUGAUUCCGGUUCCGUUUCUGGCCGAGCGAACUAAAUGUAUCAACGGGUUAAAUACCUGGAGAAAAGCUCAGGGCCUCCCCACGCUGGUAGAUCGUAUACCAUUGCAGUCAAUUUUGCCUUCCACGGAGAACACUGUAACCCGAGAAAACUGCACAGCUGCAUAUUUGCUUGGCUCUUCACCCAAAGGACAACAAAUUAUCCAGCAAUAUAGGGACGAGAAGUUCCUGUCACGAAGCGACAAAAAAAGCAUCACGCAUAUUGUUGUAGAUGAGUUCAAGGAUCGGUUUUCCAAACUGACUCCUACUGAGUUGCUGGAUAGAGCGAUCGAACUGCAUAGACUUUUUCCAAGCGAGCCACAGGAAAUUUGGUAUCAGCCCACAUGGACCAAGGACAGUGCUGGUAAAAAAAUCAAAAUACGUAAACAGGCAAAGGGAAGAUUAUAUGAUCGUAACGUUAAUUAUAAGGAAGCGACGAAAGACAAACCGAU